AAUCAACGCUGGCGGCGUGCCUAACACAUACAAGUCGAACGAGAAAGUGGAGCAAUCCAUGAGUAAAGUGGCGACCGGGUGAGUAACACGUGACUAACCUACCUUCGAGUGGGGGAUAACCUCGGGAAACCGAGGCUAAUACCGCAUAACAUCGCAAGAUCAAAGCAGCAAUGCGCUGGAAGAGGGGGUCGCGGCUGAUUAGCUAGUUGGCGGGGUAACGGCCCACCAAGGCGAAGAUCGGUAUCCGGCCUGAGAGGGCGCACGGACACACUGGAACUGAAACACGGUCCAGACUCCUACGGGAGGCAGCAGUGGGGAAUUUUGCGCAAUGGGGGAAACCCUGACGCAGCAACGCCGCGUGGAGGAUGAAGCCCCUUGGGGCGUAAACUCCUUUCGACCAAGACGAUAAUGACGGUACUGGUGGAAGAAGCACCGGCUAACUCUGUGCCAGCAGCCGCGGUAAUACAGAGGGUGCGAGCGUUGUUCGGAAUUAUUGGGCGUAAAGGGCGCGUAGGCGGUGCCACAAGUCACUUGUGAAAUCCCCGGGCUUAACCCGGGGCCUGCAGGCGAAACUGUGGUGCUGGAGUAUGGGAGAGGUGCGUGGAAUUCCCGGUGUAGCGGUGAAAUGCGUAGAUAUCGGGAGGAACACCUGUGGCGAAAGCGGCGCACUGGACCAUAACUGACGCUGAGGCGCGAAAGCUAGGGGAGCAAACAGGAUUAGAUACCCUGGUAGUCCUAGCCCUAAACGAUGAUUGCUUGGUGUAGCAGGUACCCAAUCCUGCUGUGCCGCAGCUAACGCGAUAAGCAAUCCGCCUGGGGAGUACGGUCGCAAGGCUG
rnacentral:rRNA from 1 species